rnacentral:rRNA from 1 species
AUUGAACGCUGGCGGCAGGCUUAACACAUGCAAGUCGAGCGGAGAGAGGUAGCUUGCUACUGAUCUUAGCGGCGGACGGGUGAGUAAUGCUUAGGAAUCUGCCUAUUAGUGGGGGACAACAUUUCGAAAGGAAUGCUAAUACCGCAUACGUCCUACGGGAGAAAGCAGGGGAUCUUCGGACCUUGCGCUAAUAGAUGAGCCUAAGUCGGAUUAGCUAGUUGGUGGGGUAAAGGCCUACCAAGGCGACGAUCUGUAGCGGGUCUGAGAGGAUGAUCCGCCACACUGGGACUGGGACACGGCCCAGACUCCUACGGGAGGCUGCAGUGGGGAAUAUUGGACAAUGGGCGGAAGCCUGAUCCAGCCAUGCCGCGUGUGUGAAGAAGGCCUUAUGGUUGUAAAGCACUUUAAGCGAGGAGGAGGCUACUUUAGUUAAUACCUAGAGAUAGUGGACGUUACUCGCAGAAUAAGCACCGGCUAACUCUGUGCCAGCCGCCGCCGUAA